rnacentral:lncRNA from 1 species
AUGAGAAUCUAACGCCUGAUGACCUAUCACUGUCUCCCAUCACUCCCAGAUGGGACCGUCUAGUUGCAGGAAAACAAGCUCAGGGCUCCCACUGAUUCUACAUUAUGAUCAACUGCAUGGGGUCCUACAGGAGAAGACCAAGAGACAGAGACAGAGACCAGGGAAAAUGACCGAUACCAUUCCUUCUCAGGGAUGCUACACACCCAUGGGGCAGAGGAUAAGAGGUUCCUGAAGGCAUCACCCCUCUGGCCAUGGCUGGUGUGCAGACAAAGCUGGAGAUUUGGAGUAGCCUGUUGUCCCACUGACUCUUAGACUGCCCCAGCUAAGAAGAACCAACUCCUCCUAUUACAGAUGAAAUAAACAAAGCUACUCAAGCUCUCUGGCAUCGCCCUGACGGUCAUCAUGUGCUUCACAUUUCCCUCCUGCCCCCCCUGAUUUUCUGGAAAAGGGAGAAAGUGUGUGAAAAAAAAUGGACAAUAACUUCUGUUAACUUUGUAGAUGUCUGGUUCCUCCAUAUGAGGCUGUGCUUGAAUCAAUUUUGGAGAGAGGGUUUCUAAAGUCUCUCUAGAUUCUAUUAAUUUUGAUAGAGACAAUAAAAGGCAGCAGGACCA